GCCGGCGUGGCGGAACUGGCAGACGCAGCAGACUCAAAAUCUGCCGCCCCCCUGGGGCUUGUGGGUUCGACUCCCACCGCCGGUA
rnacentral:tRNA from 1 species